UGAGGUGCCUACAACAUGCUCUAGGGUUCAAUGUUGUCUUGUUUUGUUGACUGCUUGGAUAGCUUGCUAUGUCUGCGGUUACCAGGGCAAUCGAUAAUGUUGAUAACCCUUGCUGUUCGGGACUCUGGCGAAAUGGAGCGAUACGACCCGUCUUGAAACACGGACCAAGGAGUCUAACAUGUGUGCAAGUAUUAGGGCGUGGAAACCCAAAUGCGUAAUGAAAGUAAAUGAUACUUAUGUAUCUUUGGUAGGAAGGGGCUGUAAUGGUCCUGGCACUAUCGACCGAUCAUGAACCUACGGGUGAAAGAUUUGAGUAUGAGCAUAUAUGUUGGUACCCGAAAGAUGGUGAACUAUGCCUGAAUAGGGUGAAGCCAGGGGAAACUCUGGUGGAAGCUCGUAGCGAUUCUGACGUGCAAAUCGAUCGUCAAAUUUAGGUAUAGGGGCGAAAGACUAAUCGAACCAUCUAGUAGCUGGUUCCCUCCGAAAUUUCCCUCAGGAUAGCAGCAACUUUUUACGAUAGUUUUAUGAGGUAAAGCGAAUGAUUAGAGGCCUCGGGGAAGAAACUUCCUCGACCUAUUCUCAAACUUUAAAUGGGUAAGACCUGUGGGUUUCUUAAUUGAACCUGUGGACGUGAAUAUCCAAGUUGCUAGUGGGCCAUACCGGGUAAGCUGGUCUGGCGAUGCGGGAUGAUCCGAACGCAAGGUUAAAGUGCCAAAGUACCCGCUCACCUAGAUACCAUAAAAGGUGUUGGUUCAUCUG
rnacentral:rRNA from 1 species